GUGUGACAAUGUGGGACCUUUCUCAUAAGCUCUUUGAACCGCUCCCAUGCCUCGUAAAGGGACUCGUCCUCGUCCUGACGAAAGUUCAGAAUCUUGGUUCUCAACCG
rnacentral:snoRNA from 1 species